rnacentral:rRNA from 1 species
AUUGAACGCUGGCGGCAUGCUUUACACAUGCAAGUCGAACGGUAACAGGCCGCAAGGUGCUGACGAGUGGCGAACGGGUGAGUAAUGCAUCGGAACGUGCCCAGUCGUGGGGGAUAACGCAGCGAAAGCUGCGCUAAUACCGCAUACGAUCUCUGGAUGAAAGCGGGGGACCGAAAGGCCUCGCGCGAUUGGAGCGGCCGAUGUCAGAUUAGGUAGUUGGUGGGGUAAAGGCCCACCAAGCCAACGAUCUGUAGCUGGUCUGAGAGGACGACCAGCCACACUGGGACUGAGACGCGGCCCAGACGCCUACGGGAGGCAGCAGUGGGGAAUUUUGGACAAUGGGCGCAAGCCUGAUCCAGCAAUGCCGCGUGCAGGAAGAAGGCCUUCGGGUUGUAAACUGCUUUUGUACGGAACGAAACGGUCCGGGUUAAUAUCCUGGGCUAAUGACGGUACCGUAAGAAUAAGCACCGGCUAACUACGUGCCAGCCGCCGCGGUAACAC